GACGAACGCUGGCGGCGUGCUUAACACAUGCAAGUCGAACGAAGUGGCGAACGGGUGAGUAACGCGUAAUCAACCUGACCUUCAGAGGGGGACAACAGUUGGAAACGACUGCUAAUACCGCAUAAUGUAGGUGGGGGUUUAGUCUGCUUCGCUGGUUGGGGGGGUAACGGCCCACCAAGGCGAAGAUCAGUAGCCGGUCUGAGAGGGUGAACGGCCACAAUGGGACUGGGACACGGGCCAGACUCCUACCGGAGGCAGCAGUGGGGAAUCUUUCGCAAUGGAGGAAAGUCUGACGGAGCCACGCCGCGGGAGUGAUGAAGGCCUUCGGGUUGUAAAGCUCUGUUAAUCGGGACGCGGUACCGGAAUAGAAAGCAACGGCUAACUACGUGCCAGCAGCCGCGGUAAUAC
rnacentral:rRNA from 1 species